rnacentral:sRNA from 1 species
UAGCAAUGCCAGGGGCAGAGCCAGGCCGC